rnacentral:rRNA from 1 species
GAUGAACGCUAGCGGCAGGCCUAAUACAUGCAAGUCGAACGGUGUCUUCGGACAUAGUGGCGCACGGGUGCGUAACACGUAUGCAACCUACCUUACAUUGGGGGAUAGCCUUUCGAAAGGGAGAUUAAUACCGCAUAAGACAGUAGCUGGGCAUCCAGCAGCUGUUAAAGAUUUAUCGAUGUAAGCUGGGCAUGCGUCCAAUUAGCUAGUUGGUGAGUUAACGGCUCACCAAGGCAAUGAUUGGUAGGGGAACUGAGAGGUCAAUCCCCCACACUGGCACUGAGAUACGGGCCAGACUCCGACGGGAGGCAGCAGUAGGGAAUAUUGGGCAAUGGACGCAAGUCUGACCCAGCCAUGCCGCGUGCAGGAUGAAGGCGUUAUGCGUUGUAAACUGCUUUUAUACAGGAAGAAACGACUCUUGCGAGAGGCAUUGACGGUACUGUAUGAAUAAGCACCGGCUAACUCCGUGCCAGCCGCCGCCGUAAAAC